UACGGGGGGAGCAAGCGUUGUUCGGAUUUACUGGGCGUAAAGGGCGCGUAGGCGGUCAGCACAAGUCAGUUGUGAAAUCUCCGGGCUUAACUCGGAAAGGUCAACUGAUACUGUGCGACUAGAGUGCAGAAGGGGCAACUGGAAUUCUCGGUGUAGCGGUGAAAUGCGUAGAUAUCGAGAGGAACACCUGCGGCGAAGGCGGGUUGCUGGGCUGACACUGACGCUGAGGCGCGAAAGCGUGGGGAGCGAACAGG
rnacentral:rRNA from 1 species